AUCUCUACUACUCUAUAUGUUAUUAUUGUAGGCGUCCACACUCUGUUGUGUUCUGCCUCCGCAGUCCGCACCCGCGACACCGCCGCCGUGAUUCGCGUGACCCCCACCCCCGCGCGUGGAAAUCCUCCUGCGCCCCGCCAGCCCAACCAGCCCGUAACUCUGCCCCAUCCCCGUCCAACCCCACGCCGUCGCCGCCAUCCGCGCCGCCAUCAAGGGGAUCUCCUUACAACAACGGACACCAUCAACGGACGAGAAUCUCCGCCCCACCCUCGUCCCCACGCCGUCGAUGGAAGGGGACUCGAGUCCGCCGCGGCCUCGGCCUCCGCGCCGGGCCACGGGUCCACCUCCGCCAUCCGCUCGCUCUUCUCCCGGCCGUUCGCUCGCUGGAGCCCGACGGAUCUGGCGCGCCCGCCCCGGCUAGGAAGCCACCCUUGCACGCCUCCGGAGGCGGCGGCGGGUGGGACGACUGGGACGAUGAUUUUUGGCCGGACAUGAGGCGGAAUCAGUCGGUUGGAUCAUUCGCCGCCACGGGGGCGCAGUCAGGGAGGCAGCCGCCGAGGUCCAAAUCAACACAGGACAUCUACACUAGGCAGCAACUGGAGGCGUCAGUGGCUAAUAAGGAUGAUUUCUUCGCCAGGAGGAUGGCGGAGAACGAGUCCAAUCCUGAGGGUAUCCCGCCAUCCCAGGGCGGCAAGUACGUUGGGUUCGGAUCCAGCCCAGCGCCAUCGGCUAAUAGGAACGGCGGUGCUGCUCAGGGCGAUGUCUUGCAGGUCGUCUCUCAGGUAAAAAAAGAUCAUCUUUGUGCUAUCGCUGCGUGCAAUGAACAAAUCCACUUCACACGCUACUCAUCACAAAUAUAAUGAACAUAGCAUAUUUUCCAUUGAUUGGAUAACAAUAUAUCAUUAAUUCAUAGGAAAACAGAACAAUUACUAUGGAGUAUAUGUUUGACUACAAUGGUAGGGCUCUGAAUUUUAUUCCUUGCUACUAUUCGGCAGUAAAAACGGAAGAUUUUAUGACUUGUAACUGUUGUUUCAUUACAUGCAUAAAUCAAUUGGUCUAUCUGGGGUUGCUCACCAUAAGAAGAUGAGCCAUGGCUGUUUGUGCCGAUCAACAGAUGAUAGGCAGUGCUCGAUGAACCUGUACUGCUCCGUUCCUGGCCUCCAGUCCAACUCGGUAUUGGCUACGCAGAAACGGAACAUCCUGUAGUCCGUUGAGUACCUAGAAUGAUAAGCUGAUGUUCGAUGAGAGCUUCUUACAGAUAAAAGGUGUCAUGAGUAGUGAAAUUUCAGCCAUCUCAGCUUCAUCAAACACCAUAAAAGGUUGUUAAUGUCCUCUUUUGCCUGUCUAUUCUUUAUUUUAGUUGAACCAGAAAUAUCUUUGUAUUUGACCACGUAUAUAAGUAGUAGCUUCAUGUUUUAUUUCAUACCAGAACUGCUCACGGUUUUCUGCUGGCAUGUAGAACAUAUUCUGAGCUGGUACCCCGCAUUCACCACCUGAGUCAAGAUUUCCAUAGAAAGAUCCUGAUCCAGGCCAAUCUCUUUCGUGGCUACCACUGCAACCACAAAUUAGUAGCAUCAGAAACAUAUAAAAAUUGUAUCGUUUCAUUACUUGAUCUGUUGUCGAAUUGGAAUCCUAGACGAACCUCCCAACCAUGUAAGGCACAGUAGAAGCAAUGGGCUCAACCUGUGCAGUGAAUUGGUCUCAUUGUGAAAGAUAGCCAUUGGCAUAUGAGCUAGUUUGUUGUGCUAAGUGAACCAGGCUCAAAGUCAUUGGACUCAUUUGAACCAUCAACCUCAGCCUGAUAAAAAAAUGCCAACUUUCGUGUCAAGCAGUUAAAAGAAAUUCCAUCUACCUUUUUGGGAGAAACACUUCCUCCUGUACUAAUAAGCAAACAAAAUUAAACACAGUAGCAGAGCACUGAAUCUCCCUUUUUUCUUGCUUGUUAGUUUGACUGUGUUUAUUAUUGGAGCUACAAACAGGCCUGAUAUCUUUGACCCCGUUCUGCUGAGGCCAGGGCGUCUUGACCAGCUGAUCUACAUUCCACUUCCUGCUGAGUAGUCUAGGCUCCAGAUCUUCAAGGUCUGCCUUAGGAAGUCCCCUGUGGCGAAGGAUGUGGACUUGAAUGCUCUUGCUAAGUACACGCAAGGGUUCAAUGGAGCAGAUAUCAGUACAUGCAGUACACCCUAUUAAGGAGUGGAAGCCAAAAUCGACAAAGAAGUCACCGACCAUCAAUGCAGAUAACAGUGUAGCUGAUGCUACAUCUCCUUCAGCUAGCAACUGUGAAAGUGCCAACACACUGAAUGUAAAUGAAUUUUCUGAAAAAAUUCACAAACUAACUUGCAUGAGGUGGAGCAUGUUAUUAUUCUAGAACAUCUUCGUGUGCAAGUGAAACAGAUUCAAUACCUAUUUUGUUCAGUUUGUUGUGAUAUUAGUGGAAUGUCAGAGCUAAUGUUUCUGUGAGCAAAAUAGAAGCAUCGAACAAAGAAGAAAUCCAUAGUGUGUGUGCCACUUGAUUUUUUAUUUUGUGCAAACUAGACAUCUCUAACAGAGAAGAAAUUCGUAGUUUGUUUAGUGCUUGUGAUUUUUUUUUAGUCUUUGAUAGUGCUCUAGACCACAGAUGUGCUUCUUUUGUUACUAAAUCUGAAUGACAACUCAUUUUCUUUUCUGUUGAAGGUG